UACGGAGGGUGCGAGCGUUGUCCGGAAUCACUGGGCGUAAAGGGCGCGUAGGCGGCCUGAUAAGUAGGGGGUGAAAUCCUGCGGCUUAACCGCAGGGCUGCCUUCUAAACUGUCAGGCUGGAGCACAGUAGAGGCAGGUGGAAUUCCCGGUGUAGCGGUGGAAUGCGUAGAUAUCGGGAGGAACACCAAUUGCGAAGGCAGCUCGCUGGGACGUUACUGACGCUGAGACGCGAAAGCGUGGGGAGCAAACAGGG
rnacentral:rRNA from 1 species